rnacentral:rRNA from 1 species
AAUCAACGCUGGCGGCGUGCCUAACACAUGCAAGUCGAACGAGAAAGUGGAGCAAUCCAUGAGUAAAGUGGCGCACGGGUGAGUAACACGUGACUAACCUACCCUUGAGUGGGGGAUAACCUAGGGAAACCUGGGCUAAUACCGCAUAAUACCUACGGGUCAAAGGAGCAAUUCGCUUUGGGAGGGGGUCGCGGCCGAUUAGUUAGUUGGCAGGGUAAUGGCCUACCAAGACGAUGAUCGGUACCGGCCUGAGAGGGCGCACGGACACACUGGAACUGAAACACGGUCCAGACUCCUACGGGAGGCAGCAGUGGGGAAUUUUGCGCAAUGGGGGAAACCCUGACGCAGCAACGCCGCGUGGAGGAUGAAGUCCCUUGGGACGUAAACUCCUUUCGAUCGGGACGAUAAUGACGGUACCGGAAGAAGAAGCCCCGGCUAACUUCGUGCCAGCAGCCG